CACACCCAUGGCGGCCAGAUCCGCGCCGGAUCGUUCGCGCCGAUCCUGCCACCCGGCAGCGGCCGGUUCGUCGCCGGCUGGUACGA
rnacentral:tRNA from 1 species